AUGCGAGGUGCUUCUCCCCAAAAGUCUCUUAAAUUUGUUAUGCUUAACCGCCACAGCUUCCACCAUCGAAAGACCAAGGAGUUUGCAACAAAACUCAUUCAUCGCGAUUCGGCUUUGUCUCCUUACUACAACCCUAAUGCAACCAUCAAAGACCAUGCUAUGCACACGUUGAAAACCUCCAUGGCACGCUUAGCAUACUUGGGAGCAAAGUCUAAUGUUUUUGUGACAGACGAUACUCGUGCCGGGCUUGUUGGUGAGGACAAUGGAGCACGAUUCAUGGCAAGUUUCUCAAUCGGUGAGCCACCAGUUCCACAGCUCUUGACCGUAGACACAGGCAGCAACUUAUUGUGGGUUCAAUGCCUUCCUUGCACCAAGUGUUUUGAACAAGCCACUCCAAUUUUUGACCCUUCCAAGUCCUCAACAUACACCACAUUACAAUGCAACUCUCCCUAUUGCACCAUUUCCCCUAGUGACAAAUGUGACCCCUCAAACAAUUGCAAAGUUCUCUCACAAGUACCUUGAUGGCACUGAUGUAGCCGGACUUCUUGGGACCGAAAACUUCACCUUGGACAUGUCCGACGAAGGCAUUAGCCCUGUCGCGAAUGUGGUUUUUGGUUGUGCCCACGACAAUGAUGGUUACAAUGGCCAACCUAGUGGAAUACUUGGUCUUGGACCUUCAAACAUAUCUUUGGCAACCCAAUUGGGGUCAAAAUUCUCUUAUUGCAUUGGUAGCAUAAAGGAUCCUAAGUACCCUCAUAACCAACUAAUCUUAGGCGAUGGUGCAAAGAUAGAAGGCCUUUCAACUCCACUUGAAGUCUACAAUGACCUCUACUAUUUGACCUUAGGGGGCAUCAGCCUCUCUGAAAGGCGGCUCGAAAUUGAUCCAGAAAUUUUCAAAAGAACACCAUCAGGCACUGGUGGAACAGUCUUUGAUUCUGGGACAACAUUAAGCUUCCUAGCCAAAGGUGCAUAUGAUGUGCUUAGUGCUGAAGUGCAAAAGUUGAUGGAUGGAAAGUUGGAAACAGUAGAAGAGCCUGAUAUUCCUUCAGCUUUAUGCUACAAGGGGAUUAUAAGCCAAGACCUUGUUGGGUUUCCAGAUGUUGUCUUGAACUUUGCAGAUGGGGAUGAGUUGGGUUUGGACAUUGAGAGCCUUUUCCAAGAGUAUGGCCAGAAUGAGUUUUGUAUGGCUUUGCAAGAUUCUCCUGUUGGCAAUGACUUGAAUGUUGUUGGAAUUAUGGCUCAGCAAUUUUAUAAUGUUGCCUAUGAUCUUGCUGCAAACAAGGUUUAUUUUCAGAGGAUUGAUUGUGAACUUCUUGAUGACUGA